rnacentral:rRNA from 1 species
UCCUACGGGAGGCAGCAGUGGGGAAUAUUGGACAAUGGGCGAAAGCCUGAUCCAGCAAUGCCGCGUGGGUGAAGAAGGCUUGAGGGUUGUAAAGCCCUUUCAGCAGGGAGGAAAAGCGUACGGUUAAUAGCCGUGCGUCUUGACGUUACCUGCAGAAAAAGCACCGGCUAACUCCGUGCCAGCAGCC